rnacentral:lncRNA from 1 species
CUCCUCUCCUCCUCCUCCUACUCCAUUUGGCCCAUUCAGGAUAAAAUGUGGCUUGGUAAAACCUGUGUCCCUAUUGAAGAUGUUGGUGGGCUCCAUAUACCAAUGAACCUGUAUAAUAUGAGUGAUCUUCCUUCUUAUGUUUUUUUAUUGGGAAGACUGGGCUUAGAAUCAAACCCAGGCCUUUACACAUGGUGAGUGCUUUAUCACUGAGUUACUGCUCCAGCCCUUGGAUCUUUUUCUCAUGAGCCAAACAUCCCUUUCAGAACUCUGAAAAAAUAAAAUCGGUUUCUAAGGAGUAUGGAUUUUGCAAGUAUAUACAAUAAAGAUAAUUUUAAAACUAAGUUCUGUACCUUGUAGUAUGUUUUGGUAAAAUCACUGAC